GACGAACGCUGGCGGCGUGCUUAACACAUGCAAGUCGAGCGGUAAGGCACCUUCGGGUGUACACGAGCGGCGAACGGGUGAGUAACACGUGAGUAACCUGCCCUUCUCAUCGGAAUAAGCGUUGGAAACGACGUCUAAUGCCGAAUAUGACUUCGGACCGCAUGGUCUGAAGUGGAAAGCUCCGGCGGAGAAGGAUGGACUCGCGGCCUAUCAGCUUGUUGGUGAGGUAACGGCCCACCAAGGCGACGACGGGUAGCCGGCCUGAGAGGGUGACGACACACACGGGGACUGAGACACGGACCGGACUCCUACGGGAGGCAGCAGUGGGGAGUAUUGGACAAUGAGCGGAAGCCUGAUCCAGGAACGCCGCGUGAGGGAUGACGGCCGUCGGGUUGUAAACCUCGUUCAGCGGGGACGAAGCGAAAGUGACGGUACCUGCAGAAGAAGGACCGGCCAACUACGUGCCAGCAGCCGCCGUAAAAC
rnacentral:rRNA from 1 species